rnacentral:tmRNA from 1 species
GGGGGUGACAAGCUUUGACAGCAAUUGCUCCCAAAAAAGGCAAGUCGAGUCUUCUGAAAACUCGUUAAACUUUCAGGAAACACAAACGCCAAUUCAUUUACACAACCUGCUUUAGCUGUCGCUUAACAGCGACUUAAAACAGCAUCAACCUUAAUAAUUCUCGUUAUGUGAAACCGUAAGGCGACAUAUAGUUAAGGGUGGUGUCAUUUAUCGAGAAACGCGUUCUUUUAUUGAAUGGCAGGAAGAUUUUCACCCGACUAAAUCCUCUGCUUCAAACUCUUAAUCGGGUCAAACUUGUAGAUCUUCUUUGGGAAAAUUUCCUGGACCCGGGUGCAAUUCUCGGCACCUCCACAC